AGUAACGCGUGGAAAACCUGCCGUAUACUGGGGGAUAACACUUAGAAAUAGGUGCUAAUACCGCAUAAGCGCACAGCUUCGCAUGAAGUGGUGUGAAAAACUCUGGUGGUAUACGAUGGUUCCGCGUCUGAUUAGCUUGUUGGUGGGGUAAUGGCUCACCAAGGCGACGAUCAGUAGCCGGCCUGAGAGGGCGGACGGCCACACUGGGACUGAGACACGGCCCAGACUCCUACGGAAGGCAGCAG
rnacentral:rRNA from 1 species